AGAAGGGGACCAGGCAACAUCCAGCCAGACACCUGUGCCAGAAACAACAAAAUGACAAUGUUAUACUGAUAUACCAGUAGGUACCAGUAGAGAGAAUCAUUGAAUCAUUCAUCGAAUCCCACUGAUUCAUUCAGCAGCAAAUUAAAGGAAUGAUAGGAGGAAUUUCUGUAGAAGACACAGGAAGAAUGUAGAGUCCUUGGAAUGGAGCUUGUAUUGGAUCUGUCACAAAGAGUAUAUCGUGCAAGAUAUUACGUUUGCAUACUUAUUAAGGAAAAGCUUUCAUAAAAGCCACAGUAUCAGUUGCUUUUUGUAUACUUCAUCAACUGAAGAGAUAAUUGAGUUAAACUUCUUAUAUUUUGAUUGUGAAACAUUUUUUAUUUUAAUUAAAAUAAAUGACCUUUUAAUUGAUUAAAAACUUGUAUUUUAAUUAUAAUAAAAUGUUUUCUUUUUUUAAUUAAAGCAUAUCGUGGAUUUUUUUAUAUGUUUUGUUUAUAUGAUAUGUAAAAAUGCAUCUGUUGUCAGGACAGAUUUACAUCAUAACGACCACUAAAAUGAUUUUGUACUUUCUGCUUUGGUGGUCUAAAUGAAAAAUAAAUGUACUUAUUUACAUAAAUGUGUAUUUCACUGAAGUACAGUCAUGUGAAAAAGUUAGGACACCCUAUUGAAUUCCAUGGUUUUCCGUAUCAGGACAUCAUUUAAAAAAAUGGUCCUUGGCUGGUCUUCAAAUUUCGAAAAUAAAACCUCAA